rnacentral:rRNA from 1 species
ACCCUGUGGAUGGGAACAAUCUCGGGAAACUGAGGCUAAUUCCCAAUAACGCUCCGCCCCUGGAACGGGCGGAGCUGGAAACGCUACGGCGCCACAGGAUGUGGCUGCGGUCGAUUAGGUAGACGGUGGGGUAACGGCCCACCGUGCCAAUAAUCGGUACGGGUUGUGAGAGCAAGAGCCCGGAGACGGAAUCUGAGACAAGAUUCCGGGCCCUACGGGGCGCAGCAGGCGCGAAACCUUUACACUGUACGCAAGUGCGAUAAGGGGACUCCGAGUGUGAAGGCAUAGAGCCUUCACUUUUGUACACCGUAAGGUGGUGUACGAAUAAGGGCUGGGCAAGACCGGUGCCAGCCGCCGCGGUAAUACCGGCAGCCCGAGUGAUGGCCGAUAUUAUUGGGCCUAAAGCGUCCGUAGCUGGCCGGACAAGUCCGUUGGGAAAUCUGUUCGCUUAACGAGCAGGCGUCCAGCGGAAACUGUUCGGCUUGGGACCGGAAGACCUGAGGGGUACGUCCGGGGU